UAAAGAAUCUUUCGCAAUGGGGGCAACCCUGACGAAGCAACACCGCGUGGAGGAUGAAGGCGUUUUCGUCGUAAACUCCUUUUCUGAGGGAAUAACUUUGAAGGUACCUCAGGAAUAAGCAUCGGCUAACUACGUGCCAGCAGCCGCGGUAAGACGUAGGAUGCGAGCGUUAUCCGGAAUUAUUGGGUGUAAAGCGUUUGUAGGCGGUUUAUUAAGUUGGGUGUUAAAGCUUUGAGCUUAACUCAAAAUUGGUGCCCAAAACUGAUAGGCUUGAGACAAGGAAAGGCAGAUGGAAUUCUGUAUGUAGGGGUAAUAUCCGUAGAUAUACAGAGGAACACCAAAAGCGAAGGCAGUCUGCUGGCCUUGUUCUGACGCUGAGAAACGAAAGCGUGGGGAUCAAACGGG
rnacentral:rRNA from 1 species